CGGGGUGCAGCAGGCGCGAAAACUUUGCAAUAGGCGAAAGCCUGACAGGGCUAUCCCGAGUGCCAUCCGCUGAGGAAGGCUUUUACCCAGUCUAGAACGCUGGGGGAAUAAGGAGAGGGCAAGUCUGGUGUCAGCCGCCGCGGUAAUACCAGCUCUCCGAGUGGUGUGGAUGUUUAUUGGGCCUAAAGCAUCCGUAGCUGGCUAAGUUAGUCCCUUGUUAAAUCCACCGAAUUAAUCGUUGGAUCGCGGGGGAUACUGCUUGGCUAGGGGACGAGAGAGGCAGACGGUAUUUUCGGGGUAGGGGUGAAAUCCUAUAAUCCCGGGAAGACCACCAGUGGCGAAGGCUGUCUGCUAGAACGCGCCCGACGGUGAGGGAUGAAAGCUGGGGGAGCGAACCGGAUUAGAUACCCGGGUAGUCCCAGCUGUAAACGAUGCAGACUAGGUGUUUGAACGGCCACGUGCCGUUCUAGUGCCGCAGGGAAGCUGUUAAGUCUGCCGCCUGGGGAGUACGGUCGCAAGAUUGAAACUUAAAGGAAUUGGCGGGGGAGCACAAGGG
rnacentral:rRNA from 1 species